rnacentral:rRNA from 1 species
CAGUAGCCGCGGGAAUACGAAGGGGGCUAGCGUUGUUCGGAACUACUGGGCGUAAAGCGCACGUAGGCGGAUUUUUAAGUCAGGGGUGAAAUCCCGAGGCUCAACCUCGGAACUGCCUUUGAUACUGGAGAUCUUGAGUUCGGAAGAGGUUGGUGGAACAGCUAGUGUAGAGGUGAAAUUCGUAGAUGUUAGCUAGAACACCAGUGGCGAAGGCGGCCAACUGGUCCGAUACUGACGCUGAGGUGCGAAAGCGUGGGGAGCAAACAGGAUUAGAUACCCCAGUAGUCCCUGUCUCUUAUAC